AUUGAACGCUGGCGGCAGGCCUAACACAUGCAAGUCGAGCGGAUGAAGGGAGCUUGCUCCUGGAUUCAGCGGCGGACGGGUGGGUAAUGCCUAGGAAUCUGCCUGGUCGUGGGGGAUAACGUCCGGAAGCGGGCGCUAAUACCGCAUACGUCCAGAGGGAGAACGUGGGGGAUCUUCGGACCUCACGCUCUCAGAUGAUCCUAGGUCGGAUUAGCUAGUUGGUGGGGUAAAGGCCUACCAAGGCGACGAUCCGUAGCUGGUCUGAGAGGAUGAUCAGUCACACUGGAACUGAGACACGGUCCAGACUCCUACGGGAGGCAGCAGUGGGGAAUAUUGGACAAUGGGCGAAAGCCUGAUCCAGCCAUGCCGCGUGUGUGAAGAAGGUCUUCGGAUUGUAAAGCACUUUAAGUUGGGAAGAAGAGCAGUAAGUUAAUACCUUGCUGUUUUGACGGUACCAACAGAAUAAGCACCGGCUAACUUCGUG
rnacentral:rRNA from 1 species